ACAUUGGUGGUUCAGUGGUAGAAUUCUUGCCUGCCAUGCAGGAGGCCCAGGUUCAAUUCCUGGCCAAUGCA
rnacentral:tRNA from 1 species